AAAAAGACAAACCAUGGGUUUCCGUGUCUAACUUUGACUGUCCGUCUUAUAUGAAAUUUUUUUAUAAUUCAUAUUUUCAUUGUUGUUAGAUGAUAAAACAUGAUUAACAUUUUAUGUGUGACUUUUCUUUUUAAUUUUUUUUAAAUAAAACGGAUGGUCGAACAUUGGACAUGGAAACAGGGUUUGUCUUUUU
rfam:Oryza glumipatula chromosome 5, whole genome shotgun sequence.